CGGACGGGUGAGUAAUGUCUGGGAAACUGCCCGAUGGAGGGGGAUAACUACUGGAAACGGUAGCUAAUACCGCAUAACGUCGCAAGACCAAAGAGGGGACCUUCGGGCCUCUUGCCAUCGGAUGUGCCCAGAUGGGAUUAGCUAGUAGGUGGGGUAACGGCUCACCUAGGCGACGAUCCCUGGCUGGUCUGAGAGGAUGACCAGCCACACUGGAACUGAGACACGGUCCAG
rnacentral:rRNA from 1 species